GACGAACGCUGGCGGCGUGCUUAAUACAUGCAAGUAGAACGCUGAAGCGAGGAGCUUGCUCUUCUUGGAUGAGUUGCGAACGGGUGAGUAAUGCGAAGGUAACCUGCCUUGUAGCGGGGGCUGACUAUUGGAAACGAUAGCUCAUAUAGCAUAACAAUGGAUGAGAGAUGUCAUUUAUUUGAUCGGGGCAAUUGCUCCACUACUAGAUGGAUCUGCGUUGUAUUAGCUAGUGGGUGAGGUAACGGCUCACCUAGGCGACGGUACAUAGCCGACCUGAAAGGGUGAACGACCACACUGGGACUGGGACACGGCCCAGACUCCUACGGGAGGCAGCAGUAGGGAAUCUUCGGCAAUUGGGGCAACCCUGACUGAACAACGCCGCGUGAGUGAAGAAGGUCUUCGGAGCGUAAAGCUCUGUUGUAAGUCGAGAACAUCUGUGAGGGUAGAAAGUUCACACUAUGACGGUAGCUUACCAAAAAGGGACGGCUAACUACGUG
rnacentral:rRNA from 1 species